GGGAGAGUUCCCGAGUGGCCAAAGGGGGCAGACUGUAAAUCUGUUGCUUUUCAGCUUCGGUGGUUCGAAUCCACCCUCUCCCACCA
rnacentral:tRNA from 1 species